CCCGAAGUAUCCUGAAUCUUUCGCAUUGUUAAUCAUACAAGUGCUUAUAAUAAACACAAAAAUCAAUGAUAAUUAUGCCAUUAUAUAAUUUCGAAAAAUUAACACACUGUAUUCAUAUAAAUCUAUCAGCACUUUAUCAAAUUUAUGACAUUCAUUUUAUGUUAAAAUGCAAGCAUUUUAAUUUAAAUAAGCUCUUAUCUAAAACUUUUUGAUAAAUUAUUGAUACUAAUAGAUUACAAUGUCCUUAUAUGGAAAAAAUGCACACUAUCAUUAUAAUAUUGUUUAAAUAUUAAAAUUCUAAUGAUGAAUUUUCCAUAACGGAUAUUCAGGUUCAUCGGGC
rnacentral:rRNA from 1 species